CGUUAAGAAGCCUGUGAGGAAAGCGAAAAUAAAGGCUUGACUCAAAAAGAGGAAAGCGUAAUAUACGCCACCUCGCGACGGUGAGCUGAAAGCCGCGUCGCACCUGCUCUUUAACAAUUUAUCAGACAAUCUGUGUGGGCACUCGAAGAUACGGAUUCUUGACGUCGCAAGACGAAAAAUGAAUACCAAGUCUCAAGAGUGAACACGUAAUUCAUUACGAAGUUUAAUUCAUUGAGCAUCAAACUUUNCGUAGGGGAACCUGCGGUUGGAUCACCUCCUUACCUUAAAGAAACGGUCUUUGCAGUGCUCACACAGAUUGUCUGAUAGAAAGUAAAAAGCAAGGCGUCUUGCGAAGCAGACUGAUACGUCCCCUUCGUCUAGAGGCCCAGGACACCGCCCUUUCACGGCGGUAACAGGGGUUCGAAUCCCCUAGGGGACGCCACNGGGGUGAAGUCGUAACAAGGUAACCGUAGGGGAACCUGCGGUUGGAUCACCUCCUUACCUGAAAGAAACGGUCUUUGCAGUGCUCACACAGAUUGUCUGAUAGAAAGUAAAAAGCAAGGCGUCUUGCGAUUGAGACUUCAGUGUCCCCUUCGUCUAGAGGCCCAGGACACCGCCCUUUCACGGCGGUAACAGGGGUUCGAAUCCCCUAGGGGACGCCACUUGCGCGGUAAUGUGUGAAAGGCGUUGCCAUCAGUAUCUCAAAACUGACUUACGAGUCACGUUUGAGAUAUUUGCUCUUUAAAAAUCUGGAUCAAGCUGAAAAUUGAAACACAGAACAACGAAAGUUGUUCGUGAGUCUCUCAAAUUGUAAUAGCUCACUGGUCGAGUCGGCCUGCGCGGAAGAUGUAACGGGGCUAAACCAUGCACCGAAGCUGCGGCAGCGACACUGGUGUUGUUGGGUAGGGGAGCGUUCUGUAAGCCUGUGAAGGUGGCCUGUGAGGGUUGCUGGAGGUAUCAGAAGUGCGAAUGCUGACAUAAGUAACGAUAAAGCGGGUGAAAAGCCCGCUCGCCGGAAGACCAAGGGUUCCUGUCCAACGUUAAUCGGGGCAGGGUGAGUCGACCCCUAAGGCGAGGCCGAAAGGCGUAGUCGAUGGGAAACGGGUUAAUAUUCCCGUACUUGGUGUUACUGCGAAGGGGGGACGGAGAAGGCUAUGUUGGCCGGGCGACGGUUGUCCCGGUUUAAGCGUGUAGGUGUGUGUUCCAGGUAAAUCCGGUUCACUUUAACACUGAGGCGUGAUGACGAGGCACUACGGUGCUGAAGCAACAAAUGCCCUGCUUCCAGGAAAAGCCUCUAAGCAUCAGGUAACAUCAAAUCGUACCCCAAACCGACACAGGUGGUCAGGUAGAGAAUACCAAGGCGCUUGAGAGAACUCGGGUGAAGGAACUAGGCAAAAUGGUGCCGUAACUUCGGGAGAAGGCACGCUGACAUGUAGGUGAAGUGAUUUACUCAUGGAGCUGAAGUCAGUCGAAGAUACCAGCUGGCUGCAACUGUUUAUUAAAAACACAGCACUGUGCAAACACGAAAGUGGACGUAUACGGUGUGACGCCUGCCCGGUGCCGGAAGGUUAAUUGAUGGGGUCAGCGCAAGCGAAGCUCCUGAUCGAAGCCCCGGUAAACGGCGGCCGUAACUAUAACGGUCCUAAGGUAGCGAAAUUCCUUGUCGGGUAAGUUCCGACCUGCACGAAUGGCGUAAUGAUGGCCAGGCUGUCUCCACCCGAGACUCAGUGAAAUUGAACUCGCUGUGAAGAUGCAGUGUACCCGCGGCAAGACGGAAAGACCCCGUGAACCUUUACUAUAGCUUGACACUGAACAUUGAGCCUUGAUGUGUAGGAUAGGUGGGAGGCUUUGAAGUGUGGACGCCAGUCUGCAUGGAGCCGACCUUGAAAUACCACCCUUUAAUGUUUGAUGUUCUAACGUGGACCCGUAAUCCGGGUUGCGGACAGUGUCUGGUGGGUAGUUUGACUGGGGCGGUCUCCUCCUAAAGAGUAACGGAGGAGCACGAAGGUUGGCUAAUCCUGGUCGGACAUCAGGAGGUUAGUGCAAUGGCAUAAGCCAGCUUGACUGCGAGCGUGACGGCGCGAGCAGGUGCGAAAGCAGGUCAUAGUGAUCCGGUGGUUCUGAAUGGAAGGGCCAUCGCUCAACGGAUAAAAGGUACUCCGGGGAUAACAGGCUGAUACCGCCCAAGAGUUCAUAUCGACGGCGGUGUUUGGCACCUCGAUGUCGGCUCAUCACAUCCUGGGGCUGAAGUAGGUCCCAAGGGUAUGGCUGUUCGCCAUUUAAAGUGGUACGCGAGCUGGGUUUAGAACGUCGUGAGACAGUUCGGUCCCUAUCUGCCGUGGGCGCUGGAGAACUGAGGGGGGCUGCUCCUAGUACGAGAGGACCGGAGUGGACGCAUCACUGGUGUUCGGGUUGUCAUGCCAAUGGCACUGCCCGGUAGCUAAAUGCGGAAGAGAUAAGUGCUGAAAGCAUCUAAGCACGAAACUUGCCCCGAGAUGAGUUCUCCCUGAGACUUAAAGUCUCCUGAAGGAACGUUGAAGACGACGACGUUGAUAGGCCGGGUGUGUAAGCGCAGCGAUGCGUUGAGCUAACCGGUACUAAUGAACCGUGAGGCUUAACC
rnacentral:rRNA from 1 species